rnacentral:rRNA from 1 species
GACGAACGCUGGCGGCGUGCUUAACACAUGCAAGUCGAACGGAAAGGCCCUGCUUUUGUGGGGUGCUCGAGUGGCGAACGGGUGAGUAACACGUGAGUAACCUGCCCUUGACUUUGGGAUAACUUCAGGAAACUGGGGCUAAUACCGGAUAGGAGCUCCGGCUGCAGGGGGGGGGUUGGAAAGUUUCGGCGGUUGGGGAUGGACUCGCGGCUUAUCAGCUUGUUGGUGGGGUAGUGGCUUACCAAGGCUUUGACGGGUAGCCGGCCUGAGAGGGUGACCGGCCACAUUGGGACUGAGAUACGGCCCAGACUCCUACGGGAGGCAGCAGUGGGGAAUAUUGCACAAUGGGCGGAAGCCUGAUGCAGCAACGCCGCGUGCGGGAUGACGGCCUUCGGGCUGUAAACCGCUUUCGCCUGUGACGAAGCGUGAGUGACGGUAAUGGGUAAAGAAGCACCGGCUAACUACGUG